rnacentral:tRNA from 1 species
GUGGCAGAGUGGUCAUGCAGCGGCCUGCAAAGCCGCGUACGUCGGUUCGAUUCCGUCCCUAGCCUCCA